GACGAACGCUGUCGGCGUGCUUAACACAUGCAAGUCGAACGGAAAGGCUCCUGCUUGCAGGGGUACUCGAGUGGCGAACGGGUGAGUAACACGUGGGUGAUCUGCCUUGCACUCUGGGAUAAGCUUGGGAAACUGGGUCUAAUACCGGAUAGGAACCGUCUUUAGUGUGGUGGUUGGAAAGUUUUUUCGGUGCAAGAUGAGCUCGCGGCCUAUCAGCUUGUUGGUGGGGUAAUGGCCUACCAAGGCGUCGACGGGUAGCCGGCCUGAGAGGGUGUACGGCCACAUUGGGACUGAGAUACGGCCCAGACUCCUACGGGAGGCAGCAGUGGGGAAUAUUGCACAAUGGGCGGAAGCCUGAUGCAGCGACGCCGCGUGGGGGAUGACGGCCUUCGGGUUGUAAACUCCUUUCGACAGGGACGAAGCGCAAGUGACGGUACCUGUAUAAGAAGCACCGGCUAACUACGUGCCAGCAGCCGCGGUAAUACGUAGGGUGCGAGCGUUGUCCGGAAUUACUGGGCGUAAAGAGCUCGUAGGUGGUUUGUCGCGUCGUCUGUGAAAUUCCGGGGCUUAACUCCGGGCGUGCAGGCGAUACGGGCAUAACUUGAGUGCUGUAGGGGAGACUGGAAUUCCUGGUGUAGCGGUGAAAUGCGCAGAUAUCAGGAGGAACACCGAUGGCGAAGGCAGGUCUCUGGGCAGUUACUGACGCUGAGGAGCGAAAGCAUGGGUAGCGAACAGGAUUAGAUACCCUGGUAGUCCAUGCCGUAAACGGUGGGCGCUAGGUGUAGGGGGCUUCCACGUCUUCUGUGCCGUAGCUAACGCAGUAAGCGCCCCGCCUGGGGAGUACGGCCGCAAGGCUAAAACUCAAAGGAAUUGACGGGGGCCCGCACAAGCGGCGGAGCAUGUGGAUUAAUUCGAUGCAACGCGAAGAACCUUACCUGGGCUUGACAUACACCAGAUCGCUGCAGAGAUGUAGUUUCCCUUGUGGUUGGUGUACAGGUGGUGCAUGGUUGUCGUCAGCUCGUGUCGUGAGAUGUUGGGUUAAGUCCCGCAACGAGCGCAACCCUUGUCUUAUGUUGCCAGCAUUUGGUUGGGGACUCAUGAGAGACUGCCGGGGUUAACUCGGAGGAAGGUGGGGAUGACGUCAAAUCAUCAUGCCCCUUAUGUCCAGGGCUUCACACAUGCUACAAUGGUCGGUACAACGCGCAGUGACACUGUGAGGUGGAGCGAAUCGCUGAAAGCCGGUCUUAGUUCGGAUUGGGGUCUGCAACUCGACCCCAUGAAGUCGGAGUCGCUAGUAAUCGUAGAUCAGCAAUGCUGCGGUGAAUACGUUCCCGGGCCU
rnacentral:rRNA from 1 species